rnacentral:rRNA from 1 species
UAACGCGAAGAACCUUACCUGGGUUUGACAUAUGCCGGAAAGCUGCAGAGAUGUAGCCCCCGCAAGGUCGGUAUACAGGUGGUGCAUGGCUGUCGUCAGCUCGUGUCGUGAGAUGUUGGGUUAAGUCCCGCAACGAGCGCAACCCUCGUCCUAUGUUGCCAGCGGAUAAUGCCGGGGACUCAUAGGAGACUGCCGGGGUCAACUCGGAGGAAGGUGGGGAUGACGUCAAGUCAUCAUGCCCCUUAAGUCCAGGGCUUCACGCAUGCUACAAUGGCUGGUACAAAGGGCUGCAAAACCGCAAGGUCGAGCGAAUCCCAAAAAGCCAGUCUCAGUUCGGAUUGGGGUCUGCAACUCGACCCCAUGAAGUCGGAGUCGCUAGUAAUCGCAGAUCAGCAACGCUGCGGUGAAUACGUUCCCGGGUCUUGUACACACCGA